rnacentral:lncRNA from 1 species
UGGUUAUGGUGAUAACUAGAUCAUAGCCUCCCAUUAAAGUGAGUGAUAAUGGGUCCAUUAUUUCUGAUUGACAUUGCAGGCAUCAUCCAUCUGAUGUUCUCUCUAAAUGAUGGAAUUAUCAUUCAUCAUAUGAUGAUUCUGAUGAACUCUCUGAUGAUGGUUGGUGUUGGUGCAAAAAUCCAUCUGCGUCGGAGAAGCUGGAGUCGAGGGAGUCGCGGUCGCCGUCGGGACCUGCAAAAGAAGUCUAAACUGGAGGUGGGGUUGCUCCGGCAAGACCCUCCGAUGCUCAAGUCAGUUCU